rnacentral:rRNA from 1 species
UACGGAGGAUCCGAGCGUUAUCCGGAUUUAUUGGGUUUAAAGGGUGCGUAGGUGGCCUGUUAAGUCAGGGGUGAAAGACAGUAGCUCAACUAUCGCAGUGCCCUUGAUACUGAUGGGCUUGAAUGAACUAGAGGUAGGCGGAAUGUGACAAGUAGCGGUGAAAUGCAUAGAUAUGUCACAGAACACCAAUUGCGAAGGCAGCUUACUAUGGUUUUAUUGACACUGAGGCACGAAAGCGUGGGGAUCAAACAGG